GACGAACGCUGGCGGCGUGCCUAAUACAUGCAAGUCGAGCGGACGAAUCGAAAGCUUGCUUUUGAUUCGUUAGCGGCGGACGGGUGAGUAACACGUGGGCAACCUGCCCUGUAGACAGGGAUAACACCGAGAAAUCGGUGCUAAUACCGGAUAACACGAAAUGUCGCAUGACGUUUCGUUGAAAGACGGCGCAAGCUGUCGCUACAGGAUGGGCCCGCGGCGCAUUAGCUAGUUGGUGAGGUAACGGCUCACCAAGGCGACGAUGCGUAGCCGACCUGAGAGGGUGAUCGGCCACACUGGGACUGAGACACGGCCCAGACUCCUACGGGAGGCAGCAGUAGGGAAUCUUCCGCAAAGGACGAAAGUCUGACGGAGCAACGCCGCGUGAGCGAAGAAGGCCUUCGGGUCGUAAAGCUCUGUUGUUAGGGAAGAACAAGUAACGCAGUAACUGGCGUUACCGUGACGGUACCUAACGAGAAAGCCACGGCUAACUACGUG
rnacentral:rRNA from 1 species